UACGGGGGGGGCAAGCGUUGUUCGGAAUUACUGGGCGUAAAGGGCGCGUAGGCGGCUCAAUCAGUCGGGCGUGAAAUCUCGGAGCUUAACUCCGAAACUGCAUUCGAUACUGCCGUGCUUGAGGACUGGAGAGGAGACUGGAAUUUACGGUGUAGCGGUGAAAUGCGUAGAUAUCGUAAGGAAGACCAGUGGCGAAGGCGGGUCUCUGGACAGUUCCUGACGCUGAGGCACGAAGGUCAGGGGAGCAAACGGG
rnacentral:rRNA from 1 species